rnacentral:rRNA from 1 species
AUGAUGAGAAACCAGCCUUACGUGGGGUCGCAGCACUAUUCCUCCCAAAACAUGGCUGACGGCGGAGACCUGUCCUACCUCGAUUACUAUUUUGAGCAGGACGCUGUGCCUGAGUCUCUGCCGGCUCCGGUGAACCCGCAGGGGAGCAAGAAGAGGGGGGCGUCGGCGAUGGAGGUUGACGCGCCGCAGGGGCAGGGGGAGCCGGGGUUUAAGAGGCAGAACUCGCUGUGGGAGUCAAUGGAUACCAGUGGCGGGCUAGCGCUUCAUGUGGUGGAGUCGUCGGUGGGGUUUGGGGUGCCGCAGGUGCAGGGCAUGGUCACCCUGGGAGCUGAGUGGACAGGAGGGGCGCCGUGGGUCUCGGAGGCGCGGGGGUCCAAGAGGCAGCGCUCGCCGUCGGGCUCGAUUGAGACCGCUAGCGGCGGGAGCAACGAAGACGGCCGAAGCGAGAUGGUGGAUGAGUCUGUGGCGCUGGCCACGAUGACGGGGGAGAAGGGCGUUGGCGGCGGAGGGAGGCGGCUGUGGAAGAAGGACCGCCACAGCGCGUGGUGGGACACGGCGAGCAGCCCGGGCUACCCGGCGGCGGACUUCAGGCACCAUUUCCGCAUGUCCCCCUCCACGUUCCAGGUUCUCUGCGAGCAGCUGGCGGCCGCCGUCCGCAAGGAGGACACCGCGCUACGCGCCGCCAUCCCCGUGCAGAAGCGCGUCGCCGUCUGCGUCUGGCGCCUCGCCAACGGGGAGCCCCUCCGCAAGGUCGCCGAUCGCUUCGCCAUCGGGGUCUCCACCUGCCACAAGCUCGUGCUCGACGUCUGUGCCGCCAUCCAGGCCACGGUCGCGCCCAACGUCAUCCGGUGGCCGGACGCCGCCGCCAUGGCCACCAACGCCGCCAAGUUCGAGGCCUUGUCGGGCAUCCCGGGCAUCAUCGGCGCCGUCUACACCACCCACGUCGCCAUCAUCGCGCCCAAGCACCACGUCAUCAACUACUUAAACCCCCGCGCCACGGCGCGCAAGAGCAAGACCUGCUACAGCAUCACCCUGCAGGCGUCGGUGGACGCGGACGGGACCUUCACCGACAUCUGCGUCGGCCCAGGUGCCAUGGCCGACGACCAAACCCUCCUCCUCUGGUCGAUGAACAAGCCCAAGCUUACCGGGGAGACCCUUGGCCAGGGCAUGCGCCUGGUCGGCGGCGCCGGCUACCCGCUCACGGACUGGAUGCUGGUGCCCUACUCCCACCAGAACCUGACGUGGACGCAGCACGAAUUCAACGAGAGAGUGGCAAAGGCGCGCGCCGUGGCCGUGACCGCGUUCCACAAGCUCAAGGCGCGAUGGGCCUGCCUCCAGAGGCGCACCGAGGUCAAGGUGGACGACCUUUCCGUCAUGCUCGGCGCCUGCUGCGCGCUCCACAACAUCUGCGAGCGCAGCGGCGAACCGUUCGACCUCCAGCUGCUGCAGGGCUUGGAGCUCGACCUAGACGACGACAACCACAUGGUCGCCAAUGACCCCGUGCCCUCCCCCGCCGCUGGGCAGAUGCGAGACACCAUCGCCCACAGCAUGCUCCACCAUGGCAAGGUGGCCGGCGCUGGGUCUUUCUACUAG